AUGGCAACAGCCGAUAUAUGUUGCCAUAAAGUACCCAGAAAACUGCAGCGACGCAUCCCGAGGCUUGCCCAACCUUCCCCACUCCUCCGCUCCCUAGAGGCGCUGCGCCACCCAAAUGAGCUGCGGGCAAACGCCCAACUUUGCUUUUGCCUCUCGCUGUUUUUAAAUCCAGCAAAGGAUCCAACAGCAUCCAGGCGGAAGGUGGGGCAACAUAUGGGCGGAGCUCACUCGCCACGAGGAACCCUUUUCCUGCUUGCCCUUCCCUCGUCUUCCAGGGUUACGCCCCCCUCUUCACUCGGCCUUCCGCUACUUUCGUUCUCAUUGGCUCCAGAAAGUGCCCGUCAGGCCGGCCACCCAAUCGGAGCCCAAGUUGUCAUUCAGACGCGCCUGCGAAAGGAGGCCGGCAGGCGCGUUCCCGGAAGCGGGCAGCUCAGGCGUGGACUUUUUCGCGUGUCAAAAAGUCUGGCUGGUCGGGAGGCGACGCGGCGGGAGCUCGCGGGCUUUUGCAGCGCUGAGCAUCUUUGUUCAGGAACAAGCCUUGUUGGCGUUGAAGAGGCGGGCUUGCUUGCUAAUUAGUCUAACCCAGGCUCUCUAAUUUGAAGGUGCACCUCCUUAUUCAUUGAAGGACCAGCAGUUGAUCUUGUGUGUGUGUAUAUAUACAACAGUAAAAGAGCCCAGCAGUGGCCUUGGCUAUUUGACAGCAGCAGGACUGACAGGAGUUGAAACAGAUGUCCAGCCGGGCAUUGCAAAGGGAGGAGGGGGACGGAGUGAAGUUGUAUGACCGAGAGGAGCUAAACAGGAAGGUCAGUGGAGAAUUGAUGCAAGAAAUUGACAGAGGGAAUUAUUCUAGGAGAAGGGAAGAGGCUAAAUUAAUACAUGUGUCUCAGUUCUGGUGUGAGAUCCAGGAGCAAGCACUCACCUCGUCUGUCAAGAGAAAUAUAAAGGACUUAAGUGUGGUUUUGACACGACCAUGCCAAUACCUGUAGUGUGUUAUCCUGAGAUCUUUGACACACGACGACCAUGCCAAUAGUGUGUUAUCCUGAGAUCUUUGACACACUGGGAAAUGAAUUUCCUUUUGGAAUGGCUGGGUUUACUGUUUUGUAAAUAUGUGUAGUACUGUACUGCUUGGCAGUAGUUGAUGUGAUAGUUCCCUGUUGCAAAUUGCAAGUGUCAUAUUUAGUAGCAGCUAUCUUUUUAACUUGGGAGUUCUUCAUUCAAUACAAGCACAGCUGUUAUACUGACAAAAAGUAUUACAGCAGUUUCUAUUGUUUUGCAUUUCCAAAAUGCAAGUAAACUGGAUUUUUAUUUUAUUCCUUCUGCCUAGUGCUGUAAAUGGUGUCCAAAUGCAUGUCUUUAAAACAACCUAUUGUUACAUGUGCAUGUGUGAAAACAAUUUUAUAUUCUGAAAGGAAACUACUAGCAAUUUAAAGUAUGUGCUUUAUAACUAGAAUUUGUGAGAGCGGGGAUACAUUUCCAAAUUAUAUUUGUUAUAACAAUAUAACUGUUUCUUGACAAACCAUUUGUCUUUUAUUCAAGGUUGGGUAUAGCAUGCUCAGAAAAGAUAACACUUCUAAGA
ensembl:lncRNA